CAGUUUACCUGUCUAUGAGAUGGAAGUACCUGGUAUCCUAUCUCUUAGGCUGGGUUAACUAAU
ensembl:miRNA